GUGACUUUUAUGUUUAACGCCCGCGGUAUUUUGACCGUGCAAAGGUAGCGCAAUCACUUGUSUUUUAAAKGGAGACCUGUAUGAAUGGCAUCACGAGGGCUUAACUGUCUCCUCUCUUCUACCAAUGAAAUUGAUCUCCCCGUGCAGAAGCGGGGAUAAUACCAUAAGACGAGAAGACCCUAUGGAGCUUUAGACACCAAGACAGCUUAUGUUAAGCAUUCCUAAACAAAGGGCCAAAHUAGGUAAACCCUGUCCUAAUGUCUUUGGUUGGGGCGACCUUGGGGAAAUAAACAACCCCACGUGGAAUGGAAACAUGUUUCCAAAACUAAGAGCCACCGUYUUAAGAAGCAGAACUUCUGACCAGUCAGAUCCGGCAAAGCCGAUCAACGGACCGAGUUACCYUAGGGAUAACAGCGCAAUCCCCUUUUAGAGUCCMUAUCGCMAAGGGGGUUUACGACAUCGAUGUUGGAUCAGGACAUCAUAAUGGUGCAGCCGCUA
rnacentral:rRNA from 1 species